CAAACUCGCCUGCCACCCUCCCAGGCUUUCCUGUGCCUGAGCCACACACGCUGGCAGGGGGAGGAUGGAGCCACGUCUCCCUCACUGAAGGGAUCAGGUUACCAAGAGUUUUCAUUAGGGUCACAUCUCCAAAGAGCCCAGCACCCAGCACAGGAGGGGUGUCAGCAAACCUGGUCCCCAGGGUGCAAACCCCAGCCUCCAGAACACUCCAGAAAAACCCAGCCAGCCCCGUCUAUUCUGUCUCCCACACACACUGCAGCACAUAUCAUUUCCACCACAGCAAGGGGAGAGAUAUACAUCAAUGAUCCUCUUUCAUUUCUCUUGCUGAAAGCUGCUGGCUGCAGGAUCUGGCAGCCAGGGAGCUGUGCUACAGCUCCCAGAGCCGCUCCAAAGGGGAGCAUCAGCUCCACACACGGCCCCAUCCCUGCCCUCUGCCCUGUAGCAGACCAGCCUCAUUUCUAUAGCUCAUUAAAGUGGGAUAAAAGUAACCUUUAAAGGUUGCUUUCAUGUGAAACAAGUCUAAAACCAAACAAUGACUUGGCAAAGAGUGAAUUGGAUUUUUAAAAGCGAUGCGUUUUACUGGAAAUCUUAUUUCUUUCCUCUUUUUUUUUUUUUUUCUCCCUUUUUUCUUCUUUUGAGCCUGAUGGUGGAUUAUUUUUCCUUGACACAAUCCCGCCUCCGCUGUGAUAGAUGACGGCACAUUUAGCAGCGUUCAGCCAAAACUUUUUAUCUCCAUAUGGAAGAUGGAUGGACGAGGACUCUGAAGCCCUCAUCAAUUCCUUCAAGAACAAAAAAGCAUCCAGCCCAAACCCCCUCCCAGGUUUGUUUUAAAAUACACAGAGCACAUCCUAUAAAGCUCCUUCCAUCUGGCACCAUUUUUCAGUGUUUGUGAAGCCAAAGGCAACGUGCACUGCUGGAGACCUCCAGCCACCUCCCUGGAAAACACGAGGGAGCUGCAGCUUGGAUGGGCCAGCACUGCCUGCACCUUCCCUUCAGCCUGAGGAGAUGUUCCCAGCUCUCUGAGCAGGGGUCACACACAGCUCCUUGAGGGCAGAGGCUGGAAAAGCCAGAGAAGAGCUAAGUGGCUUUUAGGAAAAUAUAAAAAUAAAAAAUAAAAAUAGUAGGCA
rnacentral:lncRNA from 1 species